rnacentral:tRNA from 3 species
GGGUGAUUAGCUCAGCUGGGAGAGCACCUCCCUUACAAGGAGGGGGUCGGCGGUUCGACCCCGUCAUCACCCACCA